rnacentral:rRNA from 2 species
CGUGUGGAAGCGUGGCGACACGUGAAGCUGAGAGAUACUAAUCGAUCGAGGGCUUAACCA